UGUAAACUUUGGGAGUAACUAGUAAUAGUUUGAGAAAUAUCCUUAGAACCUGAUUUGGUUGAUACCAACGUAGGGAAAAUUUACAGGCAUCUU
rnacentral:ncRNA from 2 species